rnacentral:lncRNA from 1 species
CCAGGCUGAAUAAGCCCAGCUCCCUCAGCCUGUCCUCGUAGGGGAGGUGCUCCAAGAAUAAUCCACAGGUGAUCUUUUUGCCAGGGCAAGAAAGGCAAAUCAUAGAUAGAAAAGAGAAUGUGAAAACAAAACAAAACUGCAAUGAAACAAACUUUAUUCUAGUUGCAGAGAUCAGUAGUGUAUUCAAUAGACUAUUACUGCACACAGUGCAUACCUAUCAAUAUCCUCAUAUUUAAUGCAUGUCCCAUCAUAUAUGCAGCAACAAAUAGACUUAUGUUGCACAGUCAUGGCCCCAAAUAUAUAUUUAGGUAUAUCUGAUAUCCCGCUAUGUUAGGGCAUGGCUUUACUUCUUGCAUGUGUACUUUGAGUCUAUGUGGGUUCAUAGAAAAAAAGGCAUUUCAUAAUGUAUAGCUAAUACCCUACAGAUAUUUUGUGAUUUAGCUCACUUCUAAACUUCCUCAUGUUAUAUUCACCCUAUAGCUUUUGCCUCCCCUCGCCAACACUGUACCUCACCAACAUAUAAGUACAAGAGUCCAAGGCAUAGAGAAAUAUUAGCGCUGUGGAAGACAUAUCUGCUGUAGCUUUCAGAAGUGUUGCUUGUGGCCACCUCUCUUGCAAAUCUGACAUGGCAGUUCCUGAAGUGUAGUUCACUUAUGUUACGGCUGACAUGGUUCAUAGCCUAGGUAUGUCUUUUUGCAUAGUUUUAAAUAAACAAAAGGAGUAGUUUAAGCUGCUAUACCAGAGUUUGAAAUGCAAUGGCUGAGAGCCAGCACACAGCUAGCUGGUGCCUCACGUUUGGGCGUGAAUCUCCCACAAAGUGGUGGGAGAGUGACCUUGGAGAAUGAGAUUCCCCACACAUCGGGGAGCUCUUUGGUGUAUUUGAACUCACAUAAUGUUUUUUUUUUUUUGGAAAGCAUCUGCCACUGUUGGAGAUCCCAGAGUAUUGCCCAUCUGGGCACUGCCAGCCAGAGCUGACCACUGACCAGGCUGUUCCCACCCAUUGGUGGUGUUAAUGAUAUGUCAUCAAAACUGUCUAAGACUGUUUUGCAACAAGCCACUGCAUUUUAAUACAUCUGUUUUGUUUCUCUGUACAUUAAAAAAAUAAUAAUAAAUCAAAGCUUGCAGACUAUUCCCCCGUAAUGUAAAUGGUAUUCCUUUUUAGAUGAAUCCAGCAGUUGUGAUAAUGACAUUUUUGAAAGUGGCUGCUGCCUAAUGCUGUGUAAUUAUUUUUAAUAACAAUUGAUCCAUAAAACAAAAUUCAUACCAUUCUCAUUAUACAUUCUAACUAGAAGCAGUGAUGGUAUGUGUGCAGAGCAUGCAUAUCAAGAAGAGUCUGCGCCCCCAUCUCAUGGAGUGUAUCAAACUUCUGGUUGGUCUCAAAGUAGGUAUUUUCCUUUACCUUCAGUAGUAUUUCAGUUGCUAUCAGCUGUAGAUAGUUCAGUCUACGACCCAAACAAGAAUCAGACUCCAUAAUGUGCUAUACAAAAUGAAAAGUAAACCAGAUACUUUACUGUCUAUUCUAGAUAGCGAGUAAAAGGAAGUAGAGGAAGAGAGAGACAGUAUUAGGAAUCCCUCUGCUUAAACCAACAAUGUUCUCUGUGAUAAACUAAAAUGCUGUUCUGUAUGGAUUUUCAGUUGUAGGAUCUCAGGUCAGUGUAAACACACAGACAAAAGACUAAAUUGUGGCACGUUUUACAAAUGAAAGGAAACGUAUGCAUAAUUUUUACCCAUAAAUUAUCUUCAUAAAAUGCUUUACCCACUUGGUCAAAUGCAUAUCUUUCAAAUACUUACAUACGGAACGUGAUGGAAGGUGCCCAUUAUUAAAGACCAUAUAAAGAAGAUAAGAUGAGGCAGAAACAGAAAAAGACUUCUUUUUGGUCUUGAGUGAGAACAGUUCAAAUGUAACAAAAACCAAAGUGUCGUUGCUCCUGUGGAGUGGAGGAAGAGAACAUUCUCUUAGACCCUGUGGAUAUUCAUGGCAUCUGCUAUGGCACGAUGUAUAUGCAAGCAUCUUAUUAAGCAACACUGCUUGGCCACUGUGACAGUAAUCUAGACCAUUUCCAGUCUAUUACUUUAAUAUUAAUUAUCACGUCUCUCUUUACCAAGUCUAAGAAUAUCUUUUCUCCUCUGUUGCUUUCUGAUGGAAGUUCCAUUCUCCUAGAGUCCAAAGAUCAGCUGAAUGUAGGCAUAGGUAUUAUUUUUAAUGUACGCAUCUGCUGUUUUAAACCCUUUUAAAAGGCAUUGUACAUUAACUGUAAUUUGGUAACUACACUUCUUAACAACAGUUGUAUUUUAAAAGCAGCCCAUUCUACCACAUGAGUUCAACAACCUGUGCUUUCAAGAGCUGACAGGUGCAGUAGGUUACAAAGACAUUCCUGGAUUAUGACAUUACCGUGCAUUAGUGUGUGAACUGCUUUCAGAAGGCUGCCAGUUGAAAGGGAUUGGUUCAGCUGUGACCUACUGAGUGUGCAUGGGACCCAGCCCCUUGUUAGCAGGCAGAUGCUAAUACCUGAAAGACCAAAGCACUUGAGCAAUAUUUCCGUCAAAAAAUAUAUAUCUUUUUCUCUGUUAGAGGUAUAAUAAA